GAUGAACGCUGGCGGCGUGCCUAAUACAUGCAAGUCGAGCGAACAGAUGAGGAGCUUGCUCCUCUGACGUUAGCGGCGGACGGGUGAGUAACACGUGGAUAACCUACCUAUAAGACUGGGAUAACUUCGGGAAACCGGAGCUAAUACCGGAUAAUAUAUUGAACCGCAUGGUUCAAUAGUGAAAGACGGUUUUGCUGUCACUUAUAGAUGGAUCCGCGCCGCAUUAGCUAGUUGGUAAGGUAACGGCUUACCAAGGCGACUAUGCGUAGCCGACCUGAGAGGGUGAUCGGCCACACUGGAACUGAGACACGGUCCAGACUCCUACGGGAGGCAGCAGUAGGGAAUCUUCCGCAAUGGGCGAAAGCCUGACGGAGCAACGCCGCGUGAGUGAUGAAGGUCUUCGGAUCGUAAAACUCUGUUAUUAGGGAAGAACAAAUGUGUAAGUAACUAUGCACGUCUUGACGGUACCUAAUCAGAAAGCCACGGCUAACUACGUG
rnacentral:rRNA from 1 species